GACGAACGCUGGCGGCGUGCUUAACACAUGCAAGUCGAACGGAAAGGCCCUGCUUUUGUGGGGUGCUCGAGUGGCGAACGGGUGAGUAACACGUGAGUAACCUGCCCUUGACUUUGGGAUAACUUCAGGAAACUGGGGCUAAUACCGGAUAGGAGCUCCUGCUGCAUGGUGGGGGUUGGAAAGUUUCGGCGGUUGGGGAUGGACUCGCGGCUUAUCAGCUUGUUGGUGGGGUAGUGGCUUACCAAGGCUUUGACGGGUAGCCGGCCUGAGAGGGUGACCGGCCACAUUGGGACUGAGAUACGGCCCAGACUCCUACGGGAGGCAGCAGUGGGGAAUAUUGCACAAUGGGCGGAAGCCUGAUGCAGCAACGCCGCGUGCGGGAUGACGGCCUUCGGGUUGUAAACCGCUUUCGCCUGUGACGAAGCGUGAGUGACGGUAAUGUAAAAGAAGCCCCGCA
rnacentral:rRNA from 1 species